GAAUGAGCGCAGUGGCUAUAUCGUAACCAAUGAGGUACAACCGAGGUGCGAUUAUUGCUAGUUGAAAACUAAUGAGCUAAUGCCAUACAGCAGCGCUCUUUAAUAUAUUUUCAGGUUAAAGCAGAAUGAUGUGCAACCAAGUGGU